AUCCAGUUGACGAGUCCCAAAUAAAACGAAACGCAUGUCCUUGAU
rfam:Schistosoma mattheei strain Denwood, Zambia genome assembly, scaffold: SMTD_scaffold0002106